rnacentral:rRNA from 1 species
GAUGAACGCUGGCGGCGUGCCUAAUACAUGCAAGUCGAGCGAACGGACGAGAAGCUUGCUUCUCUGAUGUUAGCGGCGGACGGGUGAGUAACACGUGGAUAACCUACCUAUAAGACUGGGAUAACUUCGGGAAACCGGAGCUAAUACCGGAUGAUAUUUUGAACCGCAUGGUUCAAAAGUGAAAGACGGUCUUGCUGUCACUUAUAGAUGGAUCCGCGCUGCAUUAGCUAGUUGGUAAGGUAACGGCUUACCAAGGCAACGAUGCAUAGCCGACCUGAGAGGGUGAUCGGCCACACUGGAACUGAGACACGGUCCAGACUCCUACGGGAGGCAGCAGUAGGGAAUCUUCCGCAAUGGGCGAAAGCCUGACGGAGCAACGCCGCGUGAGUGAUGAAGGUCUUCGGAUCGUAAAACUCUGUUAUUAGGGAAGAACAUAUGUGUAAGUAACUGUGCACAUCUGGACGGUACCUAAUCAGAAAACCACGGCUAACUACGU